GUUGUUCAGCUUCGGCGACUCCAACAGUGAUAAGGGCAGCGCAGCGGCGGCAGUAAUGGGGAUCUGCAUCCCGCCGCCGGAGGGGCGAACCUACUUCUAGCACCCCACAAGGCAGCUCUCCAACUGCCGCGUCAUCCUCAUAUCUAGAGGGCUCAUACAAACCCAGUGAUGCAAGCGAUCCAUAUUUGGAGCUAGAGGAUAGGGAGUGAAGAUAUAUCAGGGUUAUUGCAUUUGUAAACAGUACAUCAACAUGUUGAUUCAGGAUUCUGCAGUGCGCACAUUUUUUUAUUGCUUCAAGUCUAUUCAGGAUUUAGAACUUUUGGUGUAGUUGUCUAGUGCACUGGAGGUGCAGACAAGCAUGCCAGGGUGCUGCUGGAGCCAAUCAGGGACGCAGUGGUGGAUGUGGAGGUAGUUUGUUCUGCUUGUCGCUGCCAUAUUCAUGCUGCUGCCGUUUGUGUUCAAGUAGCAAUGUCCAGAAGUUCACCCAACUCAGUUGCCACAUACAUGUUGGUUCUUUUCUGCACUUUACCCGAGGUUGAGCAACAUCCUUCCUAGCAUAUUCUUUGUGAUGGCUGUAAUUUUUAGGUAUACAUGUUACCUAAUUGUUUAUUGUUCAAGUAGCAAUUUAUCUCAUAGGUUAUCGUUAUCUGAUUGUUGGCUUGUUGGGUAGUAUCUAUUUUGAAUAGGGCGAGCAGUGAGUUUUACAUUGUCAAGUUACCUGAUUAUUUUAGAUUAUUGAGUUAUCUAGCAUUCCUUUCAUUUUCAGUUGAGCAAUUUUUCUAUUAUCUACUAGCAUUUUUAAGUAAUGGUUAAGCUGUUUAUUUAUUAUGCAUUUGCAAUUUUAUAGUUUUAUCUUGGCACUCUUUUAACAAUAUGUGUUGUCAGCUCAUUGUAUCUUUUUGUGUUGCUGUGUUUUAUGUGUUCACCUUAAAGGAUCAUGCUGUUAGGCAAAUAACUCAGACCUGAUUUAGGCAAUAAUAUAGGUAGGGAUUAGGCAAGAAUAUUAUUCUAGAUAGGCAACAAUAUGGCUCGUAAUAGGUACUUUUUAAGAUAUAAGCAUUUUUAUAUCAUCAUAUUCAGAUAGGUUCAGACUCCGCUUUUUGCACCUCAUAAUUGCUAUCAUCAGAUUCUUCAAUUGCUGGUUCCUCACUCACUUUCCUGCCACAAACUUCUUUGUUACAAACAAACUGAACUUUCUGCUUCUCACGUGCCAAACAUGAUAAGCGUGUAGUGCUUCUACGUAUAGAAAACCAAACCCUUUUUCAUAGGAAUUAUAGAACUCCCAAGACUCCUUUAUGGUGCCAAAAGUUUAAGGUACUGGAGGUGUUAACCAAACCUCAUCUUGCACUGCAUCUUUCUACAAUAUCUGCUAGCCCCUCUUUUACAACAUCUCGCACAACAUCACCAGCAACAACACUAGGUUCUUGGUUGUUAACAGAACAAGCAUUUGCAUUUUGGGUGAUACUACUAGCAACCAGUGUUGCACCAAUAUCAUUAUGGCUUUGGCGGCUCUGCCCCUGCUCAUCACAUUGUGGCCUUGCAACACCAAAGGCUGGCUGAGUGCAAUAGGAAGGAUUUGUGCCAACUUCAUCCAGAAAAUCACAAUCAAAUUCAGAGGGUAACUCAUUCAAAUCCAUGGUUCCUGCAAGCCACAUAAUCUUUUCAUAAUCAAUAUGCAGGUAGUAGUGUGUGCUACCAACUAUUUUUGCCCGAGCAUUUUCUAAACAUGACUUCCACAAUAAAACCAACUUGGAAUUUUUAUCGGGCAAUAAUGUGUUCACAUAAAGGCAUAACAAAGUAUUUUGUAUAAGCAAUUUCUAAACAUACUACCAGAAUACAAUUUAACUUGUGCAAUGGCAAUAAUGUGUUCACAGGAAAGCAUAACUGAGCAUUUUGCCUAAGCAAUUUUCUCGACAUUACUGCAUGAAUAAAAACUAACAUUGGCAUUUUUAUUGGGCAAUAAUGUGUUAACAGGAAAGCAUAACUACUAGAAUACCACUAACUUGGGGUAAUGGCAAUAAUGUGUUAACAGGAAAGCAUAACUGAGCACUUUGUCUAAGCAAUUUUUCUUAACAUUACUGCCUGAAUAAUAAACUGACUUGCUGCAUCUGAUCUACACUAUUUUUUUCUAGUUCCUGACAAAAGGGGAGGAGGUGGGUGGAGACCAGCAACGUGGAGGUCAAGGAUUUUUCACACAGGAACAAGCAGAUCAUUCUUCAAUGUGUAGACCACAAGAUGGCAACUGCAGUUUAUCUCUUUGUAGAUACAACAAUAAUGUGUUCUAGAUCUAUUUCUCCUGGCCAGGGAGCCCUAAGUUUCUAGCAGUUUUUGAAAAAAAAUCUGGUCUGUAUAGAUACACACGCACCUCUUUUGUUUGGUCUUCGGCUAUCAUCCCAUCUCUGCAGUCUUUUUCUGCACACUUUAUUGCCUGACACUAUCUUGUUGA